rnacentral:sRNA from 1 species
GGAAUUUUCAGGGACACCUCCAGCACCCGGCAUCCGCUUUCCCUGGGCUUUUGUACCUAUCAUCAAAGCAUCAAAAAUCAAAUAUCGAAAGGCCGAAAUCCGAACGCUUCUUCUGCAACGAAGAGAGCACGCAGACUGGUGCGAGCCUUCUUUCCACACCUGCUUUACGACGUUGGAUUAACGUUUUUAUACUAUAUUCUCCCCGUCCAUUUCCAUGCCAACACGCCACAGCGGUCGCUUAUCACAUCAACGUGCUCGAUUCAACCUUACAACGGGCCGAAUCAUUUCCGCUAACUCAGCAAAUCGAUCCGAUUGCCUAUUAUGGCGGCCAUUCUUCAAACAAACAUCAACCAUCCCUUUUUUCUCCAUUCCCUCUAAUCUAAACGAGUCUCACGAGAUAUCAGAUCAAAUGAUUAAUUCCUAAGCUCGCCGAUAUGCGUAGAAUUUGUGCACUAGGCGAAGCAUGGGUUACAAGAUUACAAGGAAGGUGCUAUCGUCAAAGUAUUUUAUGCACUACCUUGGGAUGCUCGCCCCUUCCGCCAGGUAAUCCCUUUGAAUACAUAUUUUUCCAACGUGAAUACGUUCAAAAAGCUGACGGGGAGGGAAACAAG